rnacentral:rRNA from 1 species
UACGGAGGGGGCAAGCGUUAUUCGGAAUCAUUGGGCGUAAAGGGCGCGUAGGCGGCUUGGCAAGUCAAAGGUGAAAUCCCUCGGCCCAACCGAGGAACUGCCUUUGAUACUGCCUAGCUCGAGGCCGGGAGAGGGUAGCGGAAUUCCCAGUGUAGCGGUGAAAUGCGUAGAUAUUGGGAAGAACACCGGUGGCGAAGGCGGCUAUCUGGACCGACAUUGACGCUGAGGCGCGAAAGCGUGGGGAGCAAACAGG